rnacentral:telomerase_RNA from 1 species
GGCAACAAUAUUCAUUAAUCCAAUCGUUAUCUCAACUUAAUCAUUGGGAUAUGCUCACGUUCCACUUUCAAAUUAGAAGAGUAUACUAGGAAAACUUGUUCUCGCAAGUGUGACUUCUGCUGCUCCUUUUUCCCCAUACCAUUGCCCCAUAAUCCAAACAUGUCAAUGCAGCGUCAAAAACUGUGCAAAUUGUUCAACUGUUGAUAAUACAUGUCCAAAAUAUAAUAAGCUGGUACGGUACAUCGUCCAUAAUUGCGUGUGCCGUGGCGAUGCAUAAAACUAGCCCUUUUAAUGACAUCUAAAGAAAAAGCUGGACCAAAAUUCAUUUUCUAUACCAAAGACGAAUGAGAUGAAGCUUUCGGAAUUUUGUUGAGAGGCAGUUUGAACUAACCUCAAUACUUUGGACAUCCUAACCCUUUCUUGGGUGGGAUUUUGUAUUUUGCUAGAAAGAGAGGAAUUUUGAAAGAUUUCGAAAUCUUUGGCUUUUAUUGAUUUCCCUCAUUUUUGGUCAACGAGUUGAGUGGAUUCAAUUUGGGAGACUGAUUGAUUGGAGGAUUACCUCCGGAAGCCCGGAAUGGCUUACGAAUGACUGAUUGUGCUUUACAAAAGAGAAGAGCUUGAGGAACGUUAGAGUUGCUCGCUUUCUACCAUGUGCACGUCUCUUAUUUCAAGAUAAUGGCCUGGGAUUUUCAUCAAUAACCUGAUCAGUGAUUCCUCCUUGAUGAUGCUACUUCACGUUGCGCCCGUUUGUUAAAUGAGGAAGAAAAGAUCUUCGAGGGUCUUUUUCCGUUUUCGUUAUUGGUUGAUAUUUUCCUUUCGCGAAAUACCCCCUCACUUCUACCACAUACUCCGUUUUGUUUUGUUUUAUAUGUUUAUUGGAUCUUAAUGUUUUUUUUGUUUUGGAGAGGCUAUAUUCCUUUACCUCAAGGGAAUUCCAAAAUCAAAAGAAAGGAGUGUGUUCUUAUGAGCACAUUCUAAAAGACCAAAUAUGUCUGAAACAAGAAUCUGAUUGUGAGUGAUUUUAUUCGUCGACAUCCCCCCCCCCCAUUGAGCUUUAAUGGUUUUCUUUUUUUGGAUUCGCAGUCCAAAUUUUUUUUGGCUUUAGUAUUUGGUGAUCAUUUGAACGUCAAGGGGACUGACAUUGUCAUUGUUACCGGCUCAGAAAACUGUUGCUUAAAUUAAACUUGUUUUUAUUUCCUUUCGGGGAGGUAAAGGGGAUCAAACUAUUGGGUUAACUCAAUAAGGCUGGGUUUUCUCCUAAUCCUUGUUGUUUGUCAUCAAAGCAUCUAUACUUGAUUCAAGGGGCUUUCCUUUAGGGAUAGUAUUCCAAUACUCUAUCAGAGUAUGUUUGAUGAUAGCGUAUGUGCUUUUCGAAUGAUGGGGAUGAAAGUUUUUGAGUACCAUAGUGUAUCCUUAAAGUUUAUUUUAUUAGCGACGCUUUGGAAUGUUUGAGUUGGGCGUGGCAUGUGAGGAAGGGGCAAUAGAUGGGGGAUUUGACUGUGGGAUUACGUGAGAAAGAUUGGAUUUGAAGUUGUCCUUCUACUUAUUUUU